GCCCUUUUUGUGUUGUACUACUGUCCGCUAUGGUGCUGAGCAGUGCAAUAUUAAAAAGGGCAU
rnacentral:pre_miRNA from 1 species